rnacentral:lncRNA from 10 species
CUGGCUUUGGCUAAAGGCCUGGAUAUUAGUCAUGCUGGCAGAUACAGUGAAAUCACUUUGAAAACAUGUGCUCAUGUUGCCUUGUGCCAGUCGUUCAGUAGGAUUUCCAAAAAUCUUCAUCAUGACAAUUUGGGAUUGGACACAGAAACACCUCUUAUCCUGAUCCAAAAUCUUGAGCCACAGGACUCUAACUGAAGAGAAAGAAAAUGAAUCUACUGCCUCCUCCGAAGCUAGUCCUUCAGAUACUAGAAGACAAUUAUGCCCUCUUUAUCAAAGGCCCUACUUAAACCAGUUCAGUGAUAAUCUAUUUUCUAUACCCGUUUUUCAUAAAUAGACCCAUGUGUUGUUUCUUACAUAAUUAUAGAAGUGUUCAAGAGAAACGAAGAGAGUGAGUGGCAGGACCAUGGUGUGAUGCAGGAGGAAGAGCUCUUGGCUAGAAUCUGCUCCCAACUCUCCAACUAACUGUGAAUCAUUGAAUUGUUACUUAAUGCCUCUAUA